GGGGCCCCCCUGAAGGGCGAGCCCGUCCCAGCGCUCCCGCCGAGCCACACCGGACGCGGGCCCGCGCAGCUCCCGCUGCAUUCGCACACUGUGGCACGAGAGUAUCAGCUCAGAAGACCCCGUUGCAAUCACUAGAAAAUAAUUCAAGAAAGUAUUUCUCCCUCCCCGCCAUAAAUAUGCAAUAAACAUGUGUGAUAAAACAGGUACACUUGCAGUUCUUCAAAUGCCGUGACAAGAGUGGCUUUCGGAGCCUGAAAGUGUUCUUCCUCCGCUCACAGCACUGAAAGUACACCACCCAGUUACCAGGCCUCAGUUUUGUGAUGACCCUGGAGAGCUGACAGUACAGAAAAGAAAAAGGACUGGGACUCUAGAAGCACUUCCUUGUACUGGCAGAGAAGACACCAGAUGCUAUGGGGAUUCUGCAUCUAGCAGCUGCAUCCUCCUCCUCCCUGAACUGGGUGGUUCUCCUAGGUGUAUUGCAUGGUGUUUAGGACAGAAGAAUUUGCAAAAAUUAUCUGGCAAAUAAGUUACCACUAAGACUAUUUACAGCUGGAGAGAAACUUCAUUCUUUCACAACUGUGCUACAUAUACUGAAAGGAUGGCACCUUGCUGUCUUGUUUAUGCUAUCAUGCAGUGUGCAGACCAGUGUGAACACUUGGAAGGAGUCACUGUAAGUAAUUAAGAAAAGCAAGCUUAUUGCUGGUAGGUUUGUGAUACCCAUAGGAUCUACUCUAUCUGGAAAAUAUUGAUGCAGCUGCAAGUUGAAGACUGUAAACUUAUGCCAAAAGUAUAUGCAGGAAUUUUCUAAAAUGUGGACAUUAACAGAAUAUAUAUUUAAGUUGAUAACCAAAACCCAAAGAUAUUUGAAAUAUUUAUGAAAACUUAUUGUCAAAACUGACAAGUGGAUGAGGACAUGUGAAGUUCUGUCAGGAUACAGGAGGACUGAAGUGAGUGGAGCCUUGAAAAGCUGCUCUAUGAGAAUCCCACUGCAGGACAGUAAAUCCUUUCUCUCAUCAUUCCUGCAGCCCUAAGACAAACAAAUGGCAACCAGAAAAUGUCUGGGCCUACGGAGGCAAAAAGCUGCAAAUCCACCAAACGGCUUCAUACUAAAUUAAUCCAAGUUGGUCUGUCUUCUCAGUGAUGCCAGAAGGUGUCAGCCAAGGGCUUCCACCAAACAUUCCAAACCAAUUUCCUGUCCAGAAUCCAGACUGAGUAACGCGACCUUACUACAGCCAUGCUCCAACACCAACACUGGUGUCAUGCCCAGGUGACAGCAAAUCAUACAGGGAUCUUCAUGGCAAAAAUCACAGUGAGGUUCCACAAGGCCAGGUGCUGGGUCCUGCAUGUGGGUCACAGGCAUGGAUAAAAGUUCAUGUGGAUACAACUGCUCACCAAAGUACCAAUAAUUUCAUAUCUCUCAAACAUCAAUAUUGUUCUGGUCUUGACACAUAAUUAAUUACCUCACAAAAAGCUCUGUAAGUACAUGAGACCCAAAUGAGAUCCGUGCAGGCUCAGCCAUUUUCAAACAACCACAAUCCCAAUUUUCUCAGCUCAGUGGGUUGCCUCUACAAGAAAAGAUCUAUGAAAAAAUAUUUAGAUUGCUUGAAAUAAAAGCCCAAGUGAAGUAUCUCAGUAAGAUUUUAAUUAUUAAACUUUCAAUGCUAUGACAAUCUCA